GCAACUGAAAUAUUUAAUGACGAGACCAGGGCACAUCCUUAACAUGUGCAAGCACCUUCGUGUGUUUGUUUUUCUACUGGCAAGCAUCACGAAUGUGUAUUGUGGAGACGUACUGCAAACUACACAUCAAGACAACAGCACACUUCAACACCAAUCAAAACGAAACGUUGGCACAACAAAGUAUCCAAUGCCUUACACUGGUGAAAUUAAGCAUCCGUUGUAUGAUGGCAAAGAAAUCAUUGUGGAAGGAGUCAUCGAUAAAAAACCCCAAAGUUUUAUUGUCGAAUUGUGUGAGAAAAGAUCAUGCUACCCGGACAUCGAAAUGCAGGCCACUUAUCGUUUUCACACUCAGAGAUUCAACUUGAAUAGCAGAAGAAACUUCAAGUGGG